AUUGAACGCUGGCGGCAGGCCUAACACAUGCAAGUCGAGCGGAUGAAGGGAGCUUGCUCCUGGAUUCAGCGGCGGACGGGUGAGUAAUGCCUAGGAAUCUGCCUGGUAGUGGGGGAUAACGUCCGGAAACGGGCGCUAAUACCGCAUACGUCCUGAGGGAGAAAGUGGGGGAUCUUCGGACCUCACGCUAUCAGAUGAGCCUAGGUCGGAUUAGCUAGUUGGUGGGGUAAAGGCCUACCAAGGCGACGAUCCGUAACUGGUCUGAGAGGAUGUUCAGUCACACUGGAACUGAGACACGGUCCAGAGUCCUACGGGAGGCAGCAGUGGGGAAUAUUGGACAAUGGGCGAAAGCCUGAUCCAGCCAUGCCGCGUGUGUGAAGAAGGUCUUCGGAUUGUAAAGCACUUUAAGUUGGGAGGAAGGGCAGUAAGUUAAUACCUUGCUGUUUUGACGUUACCAACAGAAUAAGCACCGGCUAACUUCGUG
rnacentral:rRNA from 1 species